rnacentral:rRNA from 1 species
ACGCCUAACACAUGCAAGUCGAACGAAGUAGCAAUACUUAGUGGCAGACGGGUGAGUAACAUGUGGGUAUCUACCCUUUGGCCUGGAAUAACACGAGGAAACUUGUGCUAAUACCGGAUAAGUCUUUACAGAGAAAGCUUAAUGCACCAUUGGAUGAGCCCGCACUUGAUUAGUUUGUUGGUAGGGUAAUGGCCUACCAAGACUGUGAUCAAUAGCUGAUUUGAGAGGAUGAUCAGCCACAUUGGGACUGAGACACGGCCCAAACUCCUACGGGAGGCAGCAGUGGGGAAUCUUGCACAAUGGAGGAAACUCUGAUGCAGCGAUGCCGCGUGAGUGAAGAAGGCCCUUGGGUUGUAAAGCUCUUUCGUCGGGGAAGAAAAUGACUGUACCCGAAUAAGAAGGUCCGGCUAACUUCGUGCCAGCAGCCGCGGUAAUACGAAGGGACCUAGCGUAGUUCGGAAUUACUGGGCUUAAAGAGUUCGUAGGUGGUUGAAAAAGUUGGUGGUGAAAUCCCAGAGCUUAACUCUGGAACUGCCAUCAAAACUUUUCAGCUAGAGUUUGAUAGAGGAAAGCAGAAUUUCUAGUGUAGAGGUGAAAUUCGUAGAUAUUAGAAAGAAUACCAAUUGCGAAGGCAGCUUUCUGGAUCAUUACUGACACUGAGGAACGAAAGCAUGGGUAGCGAAGAGGAUUAGAUACCCUCGUAGUCCAUGCCGUAAACGAUGUGUGUUAGACGUUGGAAAUUUAUUUUCAGUGUCGCAGCGAAAGCGAUAAACACACCGCCUGGGGAGUACGAC